UGCUAGAGGGCGUUCCCUUAUACUGUGGAGAUCACUUUGUGUUAUUGCUGUGAUGCUGAUAAUUGAUUUAGUAGUCACCAAACUCAGACACAAACAGUUGACCAGUUUCUUCAAUAAUUUUGUCUUGUGGAUGAUGUACGUUACAUUUACUUCCAUCUUAAAGAUAAACAUUUCUUUCCAACAUAAUGGAUCAUUCAUAACAAGUGAUGGAUUUGAUGUUAUUGCAAGAUAUGAUUUCCAACCCUUGGACCACCAUUAAAAUAAUGCAGGAUUGGAAUUUCUGUUUGUUUAAAAGGUUUCUUAUGGAUGCAGAAUGAACUUCCUCAAUAGAAUUUCACUUGGAAUUAUUACUAAGAGGUUCAGUCCCAUUCUACAAGAAAAGGAUAAAAAAUAUUCGAAAAGUUAAUAAAAGACGUA